UAAAAAUGAAAUUUUGAAAACUUUAAAAAAUUUCAAAAAGAGACAACGCGGAAAAAAGCCAGGGAUAAAAAGAGGAGACAGAGUAUCAGAAGAGAGUGAAGAGCCAAAGAUCCUCUCUCUCUCUCUCUUGUUUCUCUCUCUCCUAGGGUCUUAAGAAAUGCCGGCGAGGUGUCGAAUUGGUGGCGGUCUUGGCCGCCAUGGGUUCUUCUCGAGGAGGAGAAGGAAGCGGAGGCAUGGAGACGCUGAAGAAUUGAGCUCCAACAGUCGUGCAUUCUUGCAUUAAUCCUCAAAAUCCUCCUGUCCUAGUAUUAACUGAUAUAUAUACGUCCACCAAGGAAGGGCAUUAUUCGGAGAAUUGAGGGAUGAAGCCAUUGGUCCGGGAGCACAUAUAUAUUUUUAGCAUAUUUUGACCCUAAAUUGUUUAGUUAUUUAAAUUACACCAUAAUAUCAAUAUCGGUAGCUAGUCGUUGAUUUAGGUUGCUAACUCUUGUAUUACUACCCCGUUUUUUUGCUACUUAAAUUGGCUUAGAAUCUCAAUGCAAAACGUUUAAAGCUUUUGCUUCUUUGGGAUAGUCUUGUAUUUUGGAGAACUAACAUCUAUUAUGCAGAGCUGCAGAAGUUUUUGAGUA